rnacentral:lncRNA from 1 species
UUGGAGUCGAACAAAGCUACUAACUGUACAAGAUGAAAAUAGACAUCUUAAAUUCAUACAGCUGUACAGGGUCAAGCGCGUUAAAUUCUGAAUACCACAAGACAUGACUGCAACUUGGUUCAGCCAAAUCCUCUCAACAUUUAUUGAAUACAACAUCAACUCCUCCAAAUUUGGUAAUGCAACCUGCACGAUCAAAAAAUUAACUUGUUAAUUACAAGCAACAAUGAUUUCUGUUGAUGGACAAAUCAAUAAAAUUACUCUUUCUCUGUUUAUAGUUCUUUUCAGUUUUUCAUACAAACAACCGUUAAUCAAGUUUUCCAAAUUAUUCCUUACUAAAUUUUGGUUGAUUCGCAAUAGGACCUACUAUCCAGCGCGAGCAGUUCUCGGGGAUUUAACUACUGGCACCUCGAUUAUAUAAAAAUUUAGACGGCGGCUAAUAUAAUUUAUAUGUAUUCUAAUGACGUAUAUUAAAGAAAAUGAUUAACCAUAAUUUCAAUCAACUUAUUAGUCUAUAUAUAUAUAUAUAUAUAUAUAUAAUAUUCAGCGAUUACAACAUAUUUAGUAUUCCAUAACAUGAUGUUUAUAAUAAUAAUUAUUAUUAAUUCACUUAUUGUGUCAGAGUAUCUUUUCUUUCUCUAAGAAUGUAUUUGUUACACCCUACUAUACUUCGGAUGAAAAAUUUAGAAUAAUUGUGAAAUAUAAUUAUUAAUCACUCUUUGCCAUAUUUGUUACCAAACAGGAAUAUAACAAAGAAAAAAAACAAAAAUUAUAGAGAAUUAAUAAGACGAUUGACUUAUUAAUAACUGACCUUCUCAGGGAAAAGUGUAUUAUAAAUUUGGACAUUGUCCUCCAAAAUGAUUUCAUGUGACUGCAAAUCAUUAGCUGAUUCCUCUUGUCUCUGUUGACAUUGCAGGUAUCUUGAUUUUAGAGUGUAAACUUAAUUGUGAGCACAAUCUUAAUGCAUAGAUACAAGAUCUUUAAAAAUUAGUAUAAGAAACUUAGCACUAAAUCCAAAUUUGAUAUUUUGGAUUCCAUGAUUAAGAUUUUUUAAAUAAAAAUUUAAUAGAGUUAAUUUAAAAAUAAAAAUUAAAUAUGAAAAAUAAACUUGCAAUUAUGGAUUUAAUUUUAAUAAAUAAUGAAUGUUCUCUUUAUAUUUUUUUUAAAAGGUAAAAGAGCGUACAAAGCCCAAAUUCAUUUUUUUAAGUCCUUUACUCUCCCAUGAUUCAAACUUGGGUGGUUGUAGGAGGACUGCAAAUAUAUAAGACAGUUAACUUCACUUUUUUUUUCUUUUUUUUUUUGUUGAGAGAAAAGAGAAGAAGGAUAUUACAAAGCAUGAAGCUCGUGCAAUAUAAGGGCAAUUAUGGUUUUUUCUUUAAAUUAAAAUGGUAAGAUUCUGAAGCUAAAAGAUUAAAAUAUUAAUUAAAUUGCAAACAUUAAAGAUUUUUUUUGCAAAUGGUUGCUUUUAAAAUGAGAAUAAUAUAAUAUUUGAAGACUUUUCAAAAUUAAUUACUGUGAUGCACUAGAAAUUUCUAGCUUUAGUCUAAUGUAUAAAUUGACAAAACGAUAUUCGAAUCCCAGGUGAAAAGAACCCUCUCAUACCAAUUAUUUAAAUUAGGAAUGAUCAUACCUUUGACUCUGCCGGAUUGAGGGCGAGCCAGAGACGCUUGAGAUGGGAAGAGCCCACUUUGACUAAUUCAUUACGAAAAUAAUCGACAUCUUGCUCUUGCAAUCGCCAUAACUCAAGGUCUUCAAUUCUCUGCAGUUGCACGAUCAGCGAAUCCUUCAAGCAAAUCUUGUUAUUUAGCUCGAGACUGAAUUCACGACACCCAAUGCCGGUGCUCUCCCAAUAGCCAUCAUCUCCAAUGCGUAUGCUGUACCUUUCCAGCUUCUCCAAGAGCAGGCCUCUGGGCAGAGUGCUGACGUCACGGGCGCGUAAUUCCAAAGAGGUCAAGUUGGGCAAAUGCUUCAACUCCUCAAGGCUUGCAUUCUUAACCCCUUCUUCCACCUCCACCUCCCAAGCAGCAAAGCUUUGACCUAUAUAUAGUUCUUCUAAACGGGAUAAUUUUGACAGUAUAUUUGGUGGAAUAACUUCUAGGUCCUCACAAUGUCUCAAAUCAAGCAACUUUAGCCAAGUCAAUUCACCUACUUCUACCGGCAACUUCUUAAUAUCAGAAUCUCUUAGGCAAAGGAUUUCUAGUUUCUUCAAGUCUCCUACAACACUUAGAUCAGGCAGGUAGCACCAACACAAACUCAGUGUUCGAAGGUUUGACAGGAGACCAAGUGAUGAAGGCAAUGACCGUAGAUCCAUGUUAGUCAAGUUUACAACUCUGACCUCGAUCAUGCUCUUGAAAAAGUUGUCUGGAAUUGUUACUCGUGAAUAUUCCCAAGGAUCAUCACUUAUAAAAAGAAGUUCGAGCUGAGGACAUUCCAGUACUUUAGGAAGCAAAUUAGUGUUGAUAUCAUGUAAGACGAUUGAAGUGCAAUGCUUUAUUGCACUUCCGUCCGACCAUUCCCUGCAACCAUCAACCUGCUCAUUUGUAGCAGUAAACACAUUUCGUUCAGUAGAUGCAAUUGAUCUGGCGACAUCGCGAACUACAUCAUGCAUAGAAAACAACUCUUUCUUCUGGCUUAUAUGGUCAAGCAACAUACAAGAAGCUUUGAGUGUGCGCACCAAUGUAUGUACUCGAUUUCGUGCUACUUCAAUCUUAUUCACACCUUGAAAUAAACCCAAUCCCAUACCACACAUUAACAAGUCUUCAAUAGAUGCUAUGGCUGUAUAUCCUAUUAGCAAAAAGAUGUUCUUGAGAUCAUCCCUUCCUAGUUUAUUGUAGCUCAACUCGAUAGCUUUAAAUGCGGCUGGCUGUACAUCCUUAAAAUUCGAUGAAGAAGGCCUUCUUAGCUGUUCCAAUGCAUCCUUCCAUUCACGUAUGCUCUUGUUCCUUAAUGCCCUUGCAACCGUCACAAUGGAAACUGGUAGACCUGCACAUUCCUUUGCCACAUCCCUUGCUACCUCUUUCAAUUCAUUACCUUCAACAUAAUCACCUGCCAUCUUCGUGAAUAGACUCCAAGCUUCAUCUUCUUUUAAAAAUCCAACUGGGAAAUUUUUUCGAGACUCCAUCUCUCCAGACAAUACUUCUUCACUCCUCGCCGUGAACAGCACUUUACAUCCCAUGUGAUCAUCUCCGUGAGGAAUUCCGACAUCCAACAAAUCAAGAUUUUCCCAAAUAUUAUCCAAGAUUACAAGGAUCCUCUUCUCUUUCUUCAGUCGAUCAUAGAGUCUUCUUGCCCUACCCGAUUCACUCUCCUCAUCAAAUUUUAGACCUAGUUUAUCCGCGAUUUCUCCUUGAAGCUUUCUUACGUCUCGACUCUCAGACACCUCAGAAAAAACCACCUGAUCGAAAAGCUUGUCACUCUCUGCUUUUCUAGCAACUUCUUUAGCUAGCGUCGUCUUUCCGAUUCCGCCCAUUCCAUAAAUCAAAAGCAUGUUGACAUUGGGAUUUUUUAAUGCAUCAAUUAUUUCAUUCAGAAUGGACGUUCUUGAUUCAAAGGCCUCGAAGUCUUUGUUAGGCAUAAGCAAGGUAUCCUCCGGAAUGAUGCUGUAGGAAAUACUAUUAACUGGUCUAGCGUCCCGGACUUUGACAACAGCCUCCUUCUGCCUCUCUGCUUCCUUGCUAAGUCGAGGGCGGGUCUUCAAAUUAGGACAUGACCCCUUGAAACAACGCUUAUUUGCAGUGGCUUCAUCUUCUGUAAAUUUAUCUGCCUCUUCAAUGACACUGUUGGCCGUUGCAAGCCAAUUCUCAACGUUCUCUUCAAUCUCUUCUCCUUUUCUUUUAGCCUCAUCAACCUGGUGCUCUGUACUCACCCUCUCAGACUUUAGUUUCGCAACUUCAGUGUUGAGAUUCUGUAAGUUGCUCGUGUACUUACUCUCACGCAAAUAGCUAAUUUGGCGAUAUGCGGGAGGAGCCAAGCACUUUACAACUUCUAAAACAAUAGUAAGAAUGAUUUCAGCCAUCUUCAGUCCUUUGUCCUUGUCUCUCUAUCUCUCUUUUUCUGAAUUUUGGAAAAACAAUUCAACAAGUGACCGCAACAAGAUGGAACACAAGUGACCACAACAAGAUGGAACAAAAUACAAAGGAAAAAAAAUACAAAGAGUGGAUGGAGAAUAAAACAGAGACAGCGUCACAGCUAGACACAAUUAGAUAGAGAACAGAGGAAAACCAAAUAACAAGACUUAAGAUUACAACAAACAGAGGCCGAGGUGGAUAUAUAUACUUGGAGAAUAAAAUUCAAGAGCAAAGCGAGUGCUGGGCUGCAGUUUCUUAAGGAGAUUUAUAUAUCAUCCUCAAAAAUAAAUAUUUUAAGGUAGGUAUUUAGACUAUUUCAUCAUAAAAUAAAUGUAAUUAAUUUUCAUAAAUAUGUGAUAUCAAUAUUUAUUUAUUUUUUUAAUUACUGAUGGCCUUUGAAUAUACGAUACAUAUUACUAAUUCAAAAAAUAAAUUGUGAUUAUUUGUUAAUGUAUAUGAUUACUUGUGAUGGUAAACAAGGUAGAUAUGGUAUAUUUUGAAGUAGAAAAAAAAAAACAAAAGAAAAAACAGAGCUUUUACCAUUGCUUGCCUUAUCAUCUUUUAAAUUAAAGUUAUUAUUCUUUUAUUUUUCAAGUUGCCAACUCAUACGCAUUUUCUUUUAUUGAAUUUGAAGAUCAAUGAUUAUAAAUUUGUGUGAAAAUUUUAAGCCAAAAUUUUAAAUUAAAAUAAUCAUUAAGUUAUUAAAAAAUAAUAACUUAAUAUAACAAAUAUUAUAUCAUAUACUUUAUUGCUACAAGAUUACAAAACCUUAUAUUAUAUUAUGUUUCCAUAUUUCUCCUUUAUAGUGAAGACUCAUACUUUUUCUCUAGUAGAUGUUAAAGUAUUGGCUUAAACUUUUUAACCAGCACAGUAAACCCUUAAGCCUAUAUAUGCUAUAAUGUCCCUCUUCCCUCACAGAUCAAACACUAUUUUUCAAAAUAUUAUAUCUUUAGACUUAACAAAAUAUCUUUUAACCAUAUAUGUACAGUUUGUUUGAUCUCUUUUAAAUAUUGGAGAUUACAACAGAACAGAUGCGAAUUAGCAGUGACGCUGAGUUUAGAAGAUUGAAGUUAAGAAAAUUAAGGAAAGGGUAAGGAUGUAUUUUCAAAGUGAAUUAUUGAGAGAUCUUUGAAGAUUACUUCCGUCAAGAGCUGGGUCCUAUACUCUUAACCCUUUGUCCUCCAGUCAACCAUAAGACAAAUUAUUAUUGAGUGUGAGCAGACAUUAACCACCAAAUUUUCAAACUUGUGAUCCUUAUUGAAUCUGCAUUCCCCUUUACAAAAGUAAAAAAAAAAAGUGCAAAUAACGAAACAAAAUUCUGUUCCUUGACUGCAAGUGCUGUCGGCAUUUUCAGACUUGUAAGACCCUUCUACUUGCAAGAUACCACUGAAUUUGUCUUUUUUUUUUUAAAUUACACUAUAUUAUCUUAUAUUUUAUAAAAAAUUUAAUAAAUAUUAUAAAUUAUAAAUUUUUAUAUUUAAUAUUCUCAAAAUAAAUUAUCAAACAAAUGAUUCAUUUAUUAUUUUUUCUUUUAAAUUUUUGUUAUUAAGAAGAUUUUUGGAUAUUAAGCGUGAAGGGCUCCACUGAUCGCUAAUUUUGCAGCAAUUGCCCUUUUCUUUCUCCCCUAAUUGUUUUGAAAAAUAUCUAGUCUCAUUCAGCGAAGUAUCCAAGGCCAAAGGGCUAAAAGAUGGGACACCCACAUGUGCUUCUAAUUAAAAAGGGUUAUUUUUCGCUACCCCACAUGUUUUGACAAAUCAUAUUGUGUACCCAUUUGUUUCAACAAUCAUCAGUGUGCACCCAUUCUGUUAAAUUCAGCCGUUUAGUUUAACCAAUCAAGGGUAAAAUGGAUAUUGUACAAUAAAUGAAUAAAAAAUCAAGUUAAACUGUUUACACAGAAGAAAGAGAACAAGGAGAAGUAAAAGAACAACAUCAUUUCUGAAAAAACAACUCCAUCUCUGCAAAUCGUACCAUCCAAGAGCAUAAAUCAAAGCAAAUAUGGAGGGAAAAUAUUAUGUGUUGGAGUUGAUGUUCUUAUAUCCCCAUCUAGAGUAAGAGGUUUUGACAUGGUAGCGUCUUAUGACACCAUUGUAUUACAAGUUAUCAUUGGUAGUUUUUUGGCUGAAGGCUGGAAGGAGUCAAGAUCAUGGAUGCAACCAAAACCAUUGUCUUCUUCUAUGCCAAAAUUCAUCCUAGAAGCAUCAGCAAUUGGAAGCCCACCAUCACAUGGAAACUUAAGUGAAUCAUCUGGUGGACCUGGAAGCCCUCUAAACCACAGCACCGAAGGAGGCUGCAGUAACAGCAAUCCGCCAAGCAUACUGAAAUUUAAUGAGUUGGUGUUGUGUGAUUCAGCAUCAGUUUUUAUUUUUUAAAAUGCAUAUUAACAGUGACUGGUGGCAUUUUUGAAAUUUAAUGAUUUGAAAUUCAAAUUGGGGACAAAAUCACCAUUUCACAAAAUAAUUGUCAGAAUGGUUAAAAUAAACGGCUGAAUUUAACGGAAUGGGUGCGCGGUGAUAAUUGUUGAAAUAAGUGGGUUUACGGUAAAAUUUGUCAAAACAUGUGGGGGGUGGCCAAAAAUAACCGAAUUAAAAAAUCUAAAGUUAGGGGGACCAUAACUUACAUUUAAUAUAAUUUAUGAUAGGAGUCCACUUAUGUUACCACUGUACAACAGGUUUGGUCUUUUCUGACUCAAUUGCUGUAAAAGUUUGUUGAGCCCCUUGUACUCGAUAUUAUUUACUAUUUAUUUAUAAGUAUUAUAAAAAUUUUUGCUUACUUGUUAAAACAAACCUCUCGGCCCCACUUCCCUUUUUUUUUUUUUGAAAAGCCCCACUCCCCUUGUACUCGAUAUUUUUUACGCGUUUCUCUUUUCUCUCCCCCACGUGAACACUUUUGCCUUUUGCUCGUUCACGUGAAAGUCAGUUUAGAAUUUUGAUCUUAUUUCACAGAGCUAAUUUUUUUAUCACAAGCAGGAGAGAAACGGCAUUUCUUAGCAGUAGUUCAUCACUGUAGUAGCGAGCGAGUGAGGAACAAAAUUACCAACAAUUCUCAAAAAAUAAUUAUAAAAAAUGAUCACAUGCUAUAAUUAAUCAUGACACUUUGACAACAUUACUCCCACCGAGCAAAAGUUAACAGCAUCUUCUCCCACAUUUUUAAAAAAAAAAUUGUAUUAUAUAACCCACCAAAAGUAUAAAGAGUCUUUUCUUAUUAAAAUUAAUAAAUUACUCUUUAUAUUGAGAAAUUAAAAUUUAAAAUGAGAAUGAUGGGCGAUGUUCAUUUCUUAAAAUAAAAAUAAAAUUUAUGAAGUUUAUCUAUUUUUAGAAUUAAAGAAUAAGAACUUAAUUUCUUAUGGGGAGUGUUGGAAAUCAAGUUCUUAUUCCUUAAACUCUCAAUUUUACCUCACAAAAAUUUAUAAGUUCACUUUUAUCUUUAAUUAAAAUAUUAUUAUGUUAUUAUUAUGGUUAUUAUUCUUAUUUUUGUAGUAGUUGCUGUUGUUUUUGUUGAUGAUGAUGAUAAUAGUUGAUAAUAAAAUUAAUAAUAAUAAUGAAAAUAUAACUAUAAUUUUAACAGCUACAAUAAUAAUCAUUAAUAUUAUCGUUGUUGUUCUUAUUAUUAUUAUUAUUAUUAUUAUUACUACUACUACUAUCCUAUUAUAUUAUUAUUAUUAAAUAAUUAUUUUGAAUAAUAAUAAUCUCAAUUAUUAUAACAAACAACGACAAUAAUGAACUAAUGUCAUUUUCAUAACUUAUAACAAUUUAUUUUUUAUUUCAAGACAAAAUAAACAUAUUAAUAAUAAUACAGGUCAUUUCGAUUAUGAUUCUUACAGGUAAAAUAAAUAAUUUAUUAUGAUUUUCACAUCAUAAUCAUAAUUCUUAUAGUAUUAUCUUUAUUUUAAAAUACUUUUUUUAUUUAUAUUUAUUAUAAAUUAAUUAAAUUAUACCAAUGAAAAUUAAAUAAAAAUUUAAGUAAUAAAAAUGAGAAAAUAUAUGUUUCCGUUUGAAUAAAAAAUUAAUAAUAAAAUAUUUUUCUUAUUUUUUAAUAUUUUUAUUAUGAAGAAAAUAUAUUUUUCUUUUUUUAAUUAUUUUGAAAAAAUAUCCAGACUCAUUCUGCAAAGUACCCGAGGCCAAAGCGCCGAAAGAUAGGACACCCACAUGUGCUUUUAUUUACAAAAUCUAAAGUUAGGGUGGGUGUCCGAAACUUAAAUUUAAUAUAAUUUAUAAUUAGGUAAAAUUCUUUGAUUGACCCAUUAAAUUUUAUUAUUCUACUACUUAUUUUUAUAUUAAAAAAUUAGUAAUGUAGAAAAAUUCUUAAAAGUUAAUGGAGAAGGAAAAGAAAAAGAAAAAGUGUAAAUGAACUGUAUUCACCUAAGUUUCAAACACGUGGUUCAAUCUGAAUUCGCUUUUUUCAAAAGUAAAUACAAAAGAAAAUAUAAAGAAAAAAAAUUAAACGAGACAAAAAUCUGUGGCGUGGGUCAUUCAUAUCUUUUGUCAUUUCUUUUUUAGAGGUACAUGGGGUGGAUAUUUUGAAGUGACAAGCAGAGCUUUUACUGUUGCUUGCCUUAUCAUCUUUUAAAAUUAGAGUUACUAUUCUUUUAUUUUUAAGUAGCCAACGGAUGGUAGCCAACUCAUCCAUGUUCUCUAUUAUUGAAUUUAAAGAUCAAUGAUUUAUGUUAAUAAAUAUUUUGUUAACUAUCAAAGUUUUUAUUUCAAAAUUACUGUUAUAAUUCAUUAAUUUUUCAAUUUUUCCUUUUUCUAUUCACACAACAGAUUGAUUUGCCCUCCAAAAAAAUGUAUUAGAUUGUUUAAUAUUGUAACAUCAAGAAACUUAUAAUAAAUUUUUAAAGAGAUAACUAGAGAAUGUUAGCCUCGCAUCUACUCAAAAUUAAUAAAUAUACCACUAAUUCCUUAUUAUUUUUAUAAAACUAAUAACUUUCUUGGUAGUAUAAUUUUAUAGUAUUAUCCUUAUUUGUAAGUAUAUUUUUAUUCAUAUUUAUUAUAAAUUAAUUAAAUCAUAUCAAUAAAAAUUAAAAUAGAAUAAUAUGUUUUGGUGUGAAUAAAAGAUUGAAAAUAAAAAUAUUUUUCUUAUAUUUUUUGUUAUUUUUAAAUGUUUUUCAUAUAAUAAAUGUACAUUUUAUAUUCUUAAGAUGAAUUUUGAGUAAAUGACUCAUUUACUCAUUUUUUUUCUUUAAAUUUUUGUUACUAGGAGGAUUUUUAGAUAUAAUGAAAAUUGUAAGGUAGUAAGUAAUAUAUAAUAAUUUUAAUAGAGAAAAAUAAAAAAAUCUCUUAUUUUAAAAUAUAAGAAGAAAAAUAAUUAAUUUUAAGAAAUUUUAGAAGAUAUUUCAAUAUGCUGUGGAUCACACCCUCGAAUCUUUGUCGUCUCAGUCAACUAAAAGGACAGAAUAUUGAGCGUGAAGGCUCAACUGAUUGUUAAUUUCACAGCAAUUACCUUUUUUUUCUUCUUUUUUUCCUAAUUAUUUUGAAAUGGUAGGUAGCAAUUGCUUACAUCAAAAUAUUUAGACUCACUCGGCAAAGUAUCCGAGGCCAAAAUGCCAAAAGGUGGGACACCCACGUGUGCAUCUAAUUACAAAGUCUAAAGUUAAUGAAAAGAAAAAGAAAAAGUAUAAAUGAACGAUAUUCAUUCAAACAUCUAGUUCAAUAUGAAUUUCUUUUUACCAAAAGUAAAUUUGGGCGAGACUUUGCGAGGGGCCUCGGUGUGCCCGCGGGGAGUCGUCGGCUGAGCGCUGCCCAAAAAUAAGCGUCCGAAGGUCGUACGCUCGCGUGUGAGGCUGCCCUUGCUCGCGCGGCAACGUAGAGUAUGCUCACGCACGAGGCUGCCCACGCCCAGUCGCAAGUAGGGCAGCGCGCGCGACAAGUGGUUGCCCACUCUCGCGCACAAAACAAGCUUAUAAUAGAGCAGCUCCAGGCAUAUGAGGCAGUAGCCAUAAGACAUAAUUUUGAGAAUGGUGAGUGUGGAAACAGGGAGGAAUUUCAUAAGGUCAAAAAUGGGAUAUUGGCGGGCGAGGCUUUGCGAGGGGCCUCGGUGUGCCCGCGGGGAGUCGCGGGCACAGCCGCACCCCAAAAUAACGCCCCAAGGUCGGGGUGAUAAAAAGGCCUCAGUGCCCCGAGACGGGUGUGCUAUAGCCUUGGUGGGGGGCGCGGGCGAAGUUCGUCCGCCAGCGCGGCCGUGCCCGCAACUUCCGGCGGGCACACUGAGGCCCCUCGCAAAGCCUCCCCCUAUACCGAGUCCGGCGGACGAACUUCGCACGCGCCCCCCACCAAGGCUAUAGCCCACCCGUUUCGGACGAGACUUUGCGAGGGGCCUCGGUGCACCCGCGGGGAGUCGCGGGCACAGCCGCACCCAAAAAUAGUGCCCCAAGGUCAGGGUGCCGAAAAGGCCCCUAGGGGCCCCGAGACGGGUGGGCUAUACUGCCUCAAGGUCGGGUGCUAAAAAAGCCCCAGGGGCCCCGAAACGGGUGGGCUAUAGCCUUGGUGGGGGGCGCGGGCGAAGUUCGUCUGCCGGACUCGGAAUGAAGCGAGGCUAAACGAGAGCCCUCGGGUGCGCGGGCGAUGCUCGUAUGCCGGACUCAGAAUGGGGCGAGACUUUGCGAGGGGCCUCGGUGUGCCCGCGAGGAGUCACGGUGCCAAAAAGGCCCCAGGGGGCCCGAGUCGGGUGGGCUAUAGUCUUGGUGGGGGACGCAAGCGAAGUUCGUCUGCCGGACUUGGAAUGGGGCGAGGUUUUGCGAGGGACCUCGGCGAGCCCGCAGGGAGUCGGCGGCCGAGGACCAUCUUGAAGUCAUCCAUGAGGACGAUGGAGAAAUCAAGCUUUCCGCUCCACGUACUGAGUGUUAAGUGCACGCCUUGUGCAAUUCCUGCAAUUGACUUGGCGGGUGAGUUUACCGCUUUCAUCGUGCCUCUUUUCAUCUCGAUUCCCGAGGCCCGCUGGUCCCAUUGGACGAAACGGAACCACAAUCAGAUGCCUCGAUCAUGAGUUACGGCCAAAACCGGUAAAAACAACCCCGAUCUUACCCCCCGCUGGCGAUCAAAACCCGCUAACGCACUAGCGGAAAAAGGCCCCGAGACGGGUGGGCUUUAGCCUUGGUGGGGGGCAUGGGCGAAGUUCGUCCGCCGGACUCGGAAUGGGGCGAGGCUUUGCGAGGGGCCUCAGUGUGCCUGCGGGGAGUCGUGGGCACCCUGCCCUUCGGGGCCCAAAAAUAAGCGCCCGAAGGUUGGGGUAGCAAAGGCCCCAACGAAAAAAGGCCCCGAGACGGGUGGGCUAUAGCCUUGGUGGGGGGCGCCGCCGCACAAUUCAUCCUCCGCGGCCCUUUCCCCACUCCCCGGUGGGUCCGAGGUGUCCCGGAGAGUUACGAACUUGACGUGAUAAGUUGUAUAUUUCACGUGAAGUGUUACAUCCUUACUUCUUCAGCUUCCUUGUACGUUCACUUCUUAAGAAUCUGGCUAUGUUUUUUUAAUUUUAGGUAUUUUUAGUGUUGAAAUCUGGCUUGUAGUUGGGCUUAAUGAGUAGUGUAAAGAUUGUUGAUCAAUGAUUAAUGUGCUUGUUGCUGAUUUAUUUCUGUUUUUGUUUCAGAUUGGUGAGUGUCGCCUUGGUGGGGGGUGAGGGCGAAGUUCGUCCGCCGGACUCGGAAUGGGGCGAGGCUUUGCGAGGGACCUCGGGGAUGCAGCCCAGCCUCGCAUGCCAGCAGCACAUGCUCGCGGGCAAGGAUGGGCGCUCGCGCGGGGCAUACAGUAGGCAGUCGCGCGGUAAACUGCCCACGCUCUCGAGGCAAGCAGCUCCUAGUCGGGCAAGGCAGUGCGCGCUCGCCACCAAGGCAAGUAGCCCAAGCUCGCGCGAGGAAGUCAGGCCAGGCUUGUGCGCGCGCGUGGGGUGAGGCUUCGUAAGGGGCCUCAGUGUGCCCGCGGGGAGUCGUGGGCAUAGCCGCACCCAAAAAUAGUGCCCCUAAGGUGGUGGGGGGCACGGGCGAAGUUCAUUCGCCGGGCUCUGAAUGGGGCGAGGCUUUGCGAGAGGCCUCGUUGUGCCCACGGGGAGUCACGGGCACAGUCGCGCCCAAAAAUAGUGCCCCAAAGUCGGGGGGCCAUUGACUGGUGUACCACGAUCAUAUUUAACUGUUGUAUGCAUGAAUCCUUGUGACAUGACAUAUAGCCAAUUAAAUUCUGACAUGCGUGCAAUAAAGACUGUAAAGUGACCGGUUAUUCCGGUUGAAUUCACAAGAACUCUUGUUUGUGUGUUUAUGUUCCAAGUUGUGUACUCUUUGUUACGAGUUCUCUAAUUAGUCUGAUAUUAUCGCAACUGAUGCUCAAUAAUGUUACAGGUUUUAUAAUAUAUGUCACUGGUACGAUCGCUGUCACAAAUUUUGAACGAAAAGUUCCUAAUAAAACAAGUUAUUUAAUUAAUUAAAUAAGAAUAAAAUGAAUUUGUGAAAAAAAAUUUAAUUUAAUUUUGAAUUAUUUUAACCAAAAUUUAAGUUUUUUUUUUAAUUUGUUUAAGAAAAUGCGUUUUAAUUGGAAAAUCAAUGAAAAAAUUUAUGUAACAGAAAAAAAAAAAAAGCAAAACGUUUUGUUUUGGAUGGAGGCCAUAGAUUCCAAUAUUUCCUUCACGAAAACUACAAAAAAUUAUCAAAGGCAUCAAUUUCUACACUCUCACCGAGCAAUACUCUUAACCCAGAAGAAAGUGUAUAAACCAACCCCAAUCAGUCCAUCAAUGUCGUCAACCUCAUACAAUAUAAAAAAAAUCCGUGUCCAUUAAACCGUCUUUAUUGAGCCAUUAGACUAUUCGUGUCAUCUUCCCAUCUCGUUGUAGUAUUUUGCCGUUCAAAUCUAGUUAUCAAUUGGGGAAAAUGGGGACCAAUCUGCAAGUCUUUAAAAUAGAUAGGAACUUUAAUUGGGCACUAUGUUCACAGUGGUGGACCCAGCAGCAUUAAUAUUUAAGGUGGAGCUAUUUGUAUCUUAAAAAUGAUUUUAAAUAUUCUAAUUUCAAUAAGAAUAUAUAUUAUAAAAAUAUUUAUUAUAUAAGUUAUUGGACAAUAUAUUAUAAGUCAAUAUUAUAUAAUUACUUUGAACACUUAUAUAGCACAAUCCUAAUUUAAUUUAUUAUUCUCAUGACUUAAAUAUAAAAAUUUUUAUUUCCAACAUCUUAAUAAAUAUGUAGAUGAAUAAUAAGGAAAUUAACUUUGAGAAAAAAUUAAAUACAAAAUAUGUGUAAUACUUUUAAAAAUAAAAUAAAACAAAAGUAUUGCACAAGAUUUUUUUUGGGGGGAGGGGGGGGGGGGGGGCUUUGGCCAUUCUUCUUCUUCUUCUCCUUCUCUCUCUCUCUUUUUUUUUUUGGGUAGUAUUUAUGGAACAUUUUCUAUUGUUAUGUUCUCAUCACAAGUUAUUUUGGGUGUAAAAUUCAAUAUUGAAAAUAAAUUAAAUGAAAAAUUAGUAACGAAAAUUAUGUUAAAUUAUUUUUUUAUAACUUAAUUUUUAAUUAUAUUAUUGUGAGUAUAUGCUAAAUCUCUUAAAAAUAGAGUGUUGAAUAAUUUUAUUAGUUUUUUUUUAAAUAAAUAAAGUUAAGUAACUUAAAAAGUUUAAGUAAGGAUAUUUUUGAAUUUUAAUUAGUGUACAAAGUAAAGUUUAAUUUUUUUAUAAUUAAAUUAUAAACGUGAAAAAUAAUAGAAUGUUCAAAAUAAUAUUUAGAGUACUAAUAAUCCUACCUUAAUCUUUAUCAUCACAUUAUUUUUCAUAAAAAAUUUACAAUUACCUCUUUAUUGGAUAAUUUUGUUCCCUCUCUUACCUUAUGUUCCCUUACAUUCUCAUUUCUGCAUCACCAUUUAAAUUGUAAUCAUAACGUUAAUCUUUAUCCAUCACAUAUUUUGCCAAAUUUAUUCGCACCGCAAAGCUCUUUCCUUUUUUUUUUUUUCCUCCGUUAAGUUUGCUAUAAUGUACGUGAAGAAUAGUUAAAGAGCUCUUUCGUGUCCUUACCCUUUUUUUCGGGUUCACUUUUGCUGCUUUUUAACGUUUCUCCAGAAUUCACUUCAACAUGACUGGCGCAUUUUCUUCUUUCUCGUUGCAACAUCAACUGGGCCACCACCUCUUGCCUCUCCCGGUUCCCCUCAAUUUUCGUAUUCAAUGUCCACCGUUGAUUGUACAUUUAUUAAAACUCUGUGGUUAUUGUUUUUUUGCAUACAUUUAAUUCCACACGGUCUAUCAAUAGAGCAGGUGCAUCGUAGUUGUGGCCUUAACUGUUAUUGGUAACUCAAUAGCUAAUUCUAAUGUUUCAUCAAGCAGUUUAGAGAUAACCUCUCUCGCUGAACUCCUUGGAGUAACGCAAUCCAGUUUUCCAGUGCAAUCACCAGACAGUUGAACAGCUUCUGAAUUCCCUAUGCUUUUCUUGUUUUCUUUUCCAUGUAAAGGGAGCUCAGGCUUCAAUAUAUCUGGGGAUUGAUUACUAAUGAUAAAGACAACAUACGGUAGAGGACACAAAUUGUUAUUAAAGAAUGAUGCACUUUUCAACUGAGUAUAGUAAAGCAAGAAUGGGUAAUUAGUUUUACCUGCAACGUGAAAAUCUAGACUCCCGACGGUAACCGAUCUUUGGUCAAGCAAAUAAAGAAGAAGGCGAAGUAAAAUUCACUGAGUUGAAUGAGCGAUCAUUGCGUAUGGACUUGACUUGUUCAAUGGGUGAAAGACUGCUGAUAUAAUUAAAGACUGGAGAAUCCUGCACGUUGACAAGCAUCAUUUUUAAUCUAACAUAGAGUCUUAAAAACUUUGUCAGUGGCAAAUGAUCACGACAAGAAAUCUGAAGUAGAAACAGCAGAGCUCAACAAAUCACUAAGAGAAAAUAAGACCAAUAACCAAGCAGAUAAAAGAAAAGCAAAAUAACCCAUCUCAAAAUCACCGCAUGCACAAUUAGGGAUGGCAAUUUCCGGGUCCGGGUCCGGGUCCGGGUUUGGCUGUUCCGGAUCCGGACCCGGACACGAAAUUUUCAUAACCGGACCCGCAUUAAACCCGGGUUUUUUUAAUCCGGGUCCGGUCCGGGUUCAACCCGGAAAAAUCCGGGUUUCCGGAUUCCGGGUUUUGAACCCGGAUUGCUUAUUUUUUUUUUUUUAGAGACCAUAUAACUUAUUUUAACAAGGCACAGGGGAUGGGGUUUAAUGUUUUAAUCUUUUCCCCAACAACACACUACACAAUUCUUCCUAGAAUUGGUUCAAUAAAAUUUGAUGGAUAAAAGGCAAAAUAAAAGAACAUAUAACACAUCAGUGACAUCACUAGACUACUAGAACCAAAUUGUUUAACUUUGGUUCAUCAAAAUUUGCCGGACAUAGGGCAAAAAAACAGAACAUAUAAACACAUCCAGAACCACCAGCCCACUAGAACCAAAUUGUUUAACUUUGGUUCAUCAAAAUUUGCUGGACACAGGGCCAAAUAACAGAACAUAAUAACACAUCCAGCUUCUAAAACAAAUACAACACAAAUACACAAUAUAAAAUCUAAAAUUCAAAGUUUUAAAGUAAUAAACAUCCACAAAUACAAAUUCAUAACAUAAUUCUAUAAUUUAAAGCUGAAAUUUCCAGCCACUGCCCACUAGUGCUCAGAUUUCUAGCCACUGCCCACAGCCCACCAAUGCUCAAAUUUCCAGCCACCGCCCACUAGUGCUCAUAUUUCCAGCCACUGCCCACAGCCCACCAGUGCUCAAAUUUCCAGCCACUGCGGCACUGCCCACCAGUGCUCAAAUUUCCAGCCACUGCCCACCAGUACUAAAGACUAAACUCUGAAUCAUGCACUUCAUUGGACUGUUGUUCACUCAUCAAACUUUCAUCAAUCAAAUGCUCUGCAGAAAGUAUUGCUUCCUCUGGAAUUCCAUUUACAAAAAAUGUGUAAAUCAUAAACAUAAUGAACAAGACAACCAAUUAGUGACAAAUUGAUAAUAAGAACAAUACAACAAAUAAUUUGAUUCUAAUAAAUAAAAUUUUCAUACCUUUUAAGUUUUGUUCAAGCCAAAACCAAUUUUGAGUGCACACUAAUGCCUCUACUGUGGAUGGGUGAAGUCUACUACGAUGAGGGCUCAAAUGUCUACCUCCAGUGCUAAAAGCAGACUCUGAAGCAAUUGUUGAUACAGGAAUGGCCAAAAAGUCCCUUGCAAUCUUUGCAAGUAUAGGAUAUUUGCCUUGAUUAUUCUUCCACCAUGAUAAAAUGUCAAAUUGACUAGUUGAAGGCAAAGUACACUCCUCAAGAUAAAACUCUAAUUCUGAUUUGGAAUGAGUAUUUUGCGUGUUUUCAUUUCUAAAUAAUGCCCACUCAUCAGCCAUUUCAUCCAAAUCUAAAUCUAACAUAUUAGAGUCCUCUCCUCCAGCAGCUUGAGAAUUGGCACCAUUAACCCCCCCACUUGAAUUUGAUAGAUGAUUUACUUCAUACUCAUGUACUAAAUCAACAAAUAACUUACGCACUCUUUCAAUUUCAGAUUCAGCUCUUUCCCCAUAUAUUUUAGGAAAUAAAAAGUUAAUCAAUAACAUUUUACGCCUAGGAUCUAACAUAGUCCCCACUGCAAGAACUCCAUGAAUAACAUCCCAAUACUUUUCAUACUUUGCAAUCAUCCUAGUAGCCAUAUUUUUUAUCCCCUCAAUUGGUGAUUGCAACCAUGCAUUCAUUGACAAUCUAAUUUCACAAAUCUUGGCAAAAAAUAAAUUAGAUGUCGGAUAUUGUGUCCCCGAAAAAAGUUCUGUCAACUUAUAAAAGCUUUUUAAAUACUCACACAUAAGCUUUGACAAAUUCCACUCUGACUCACUAGGUAAAGAUGUAUAAUUUCUCUCACGUUCCUUUAAACGAUCAAAUACAUUUUUAUACAGCAAUGCAGUACUAAGCAUCAAGUAAGUAGAGUUCCAUCUAGUUUUACAAUCAAGUACUAAGUUUUUGGUUUCCUUAAUACCUAAUUGUUUUUUUGCAUUCUCAAAUUUUUCAACUCUAGCUGGUGUUGCUGUCCAAUAAUGAACACUAUCUCUAAUUUUCUCAACUCCCUUUUGUAUCACUGACAAACCAUCUCUAACUAUCAAGUUCAAUAUAUGAGCACAACAACGCAUGUGAAAGAAUUUGCCACCCAUAAUCAUUGAACUAGUAGAAAAUUUCCCCAACAACAAGGCAAUCAUAGAAUCAUUUGCAGCACAGUUAUCAGCAGUUACAGAGGACAAUUUUCUAUCUAUAUUCCAAUCCAUCAAACAAUCAUAUAACUCAUUACACAUUACCUCAGCACUAUGUGGAGCUGGCACAUAUAUAAACCUAAUAAUGUGAAAAAAUAAUUAAAAUAUUAGACAGGACAUUAAUUUAUGCUUAAACCAGAAAAAAAAGUUUCAAGAAUAUUACCUCAUAAUACGACUUCGCAACACCCAUGAACUAUCAAUGUAAUGUGCCGUAAUAACCAUGUAUCCUUUUUUUUGGUUACUAGCAGUCCACAUAUCAGUAGUAAUUGCGAUUCUACUCUCACAAGCUUCCAAAAUACCCAUUGUCUUUUUCUUUUCAACAUCAUAAAGCCUCAAAAUUUCAGCUUUGAUGGUGUUUCUACUAAUAGUCUCAAUAGAAGGUUGGAGUAGCUUCAACAAGUCAUAAAACCCAACAUACUCAACAAAUGCCAAUGGGAGCUCAUGUAAUACAAUCAUUCUAGCUAUAAAAAGCUUUACUGUAGCCAUAUCCCAUUUUGACUCAGAACUAAAAUUACUAAGUGAAGUGCUUCCAUCAACUUUAGAAGAAAAGGAUAGGUGCAUUUGCUGUACAUUCUUAAAUGACCUUCUAGGACAACGUUUAGCAUGGUUUAUUAAGUGAUUAGUACCCCUCGAAUAAUGUCCUUGCAUAACUAACCCACAGUAAUUGCAAAUUGCCUGAACUUCCUCACCCAACUUAACUUUUUUGAAAUGAUUCCAAGCAUCAGAGACUACUCUACCACCACUAUCUCGUUUUUGUGAAGUGACAGAAUUAGUAUUACCCCUACGGCCACGGCUACGGCCACGACUAUUCCCCUGAACUGCUGCUGUUGAAUUUGGUUCUAAUUCAACAGCUGUAUCGUUAUUAUUUUCUAAUUCUGUCCUAACUCUCACACAAACACUUUCAUCACUUUUUUCAGAGGCGUCCAAGUCGAUUCUUUGUUCAUUUUCCAUAUCAAAUUUUCACUCUACAAAAAUUAUGUCAAGAUAUAAUUAAUUCCAGCAACUUCUUCCAAUUUAUAUGCUAUGUUUAACCGUAAAAGCUAUAAAUAAUAUUUUAGAGAUACCAUUUCUAUUCUAUUAACAGCAACAAUAAAAAUAAUUCAAAAAAUAAACUAUAAAUAAUAAAAUUGAAGCAUAACAAAGUAUAGAUACUAAAAAUCACAGAGUUUAGCUAUUAAAGUCACAAAGUAUAGAUAUUAAAAUUACAAAGAGAGCAAAACAGAACACAGAACACAGAGCACAGAACACAGAACAUAUUUGAUUUGAAAACUCAAUGUUAAUGGGUCUUUUAAGCAAAGGUAUGUUAUCAAGUUUUUAUGCAACCUUAGAGAUAGCUAGUAUAUUUAAUCUAUCUCUACAGAAUUCUGAUACAGAUUAGUAUGAUUUACUGUGUUAACCGAUAUUAGACUUCUUUUGCAGACUCAAAAAAGUGCCUGCGACAAAUUUGCAGAUAUCCUAAACAAUUCUUACUGCAUUGGCAGAUUAUUCUAAAUUUCUAAUCGAGGAAAAGGAUCAGGAGUGUACAAUACUAACUGGAAAGAGUCAUUACUCUUCAAGCAACUCAGUAUACACAAGUAGUAAAAGCACAGGACAAGGUCGAACCCAAUUUCAGUGAGAGAAAGCAGAAGCAAGCCAAACAGAGUAUUAAUGCUAGUCAGGCUCAGAACUACCAUUCAUGCAGCUAGCCAUAGGCAGCAGCCCUUUGGCUAAUUAUACUUCAAAUUCAAUUCUAAGCUUACUCACUAACCAACUCUUAAUGCACAAAACCAACAAUACGCGGCAGAAGAAAAAUGGCAACUGUUCUGUUUUAGACAACAAUUUCUCCUUGUGCCAGAAAAACAAAGAACAAAAAGAGGCAAAUAAUUCAGAAAAACAAAAAGCUUAUAAUUAGUCAAGUGCUCUCAUAUGUCAUAUACAAAGAAAACAAUGUAUGAGGAAAAAUCAAAUUGUGCCAGCAGCAAUACAAGCUCAAAGCAUAACAGCACAAAAAUUGCAAAGAGGGAAAAUCAAAGUGUAAUAGAGCAUAAAUUGUAAAGAGAAAAGCCGAGACUCACAAAUAUUCACAGCGGCAACUGAAGUAUAUGCUGAUGAACACAGAACACAGCAGCGAGACUGAGGUGGAUUUCAACCCCUUUUGCUGGCCGCGACAGAGUGAGAGAUCAGACGAGUGAUGAAACGAACAAAGCCUCGCCGUGAAGGUGAUGACAAGCCACGACGCGAAGGAUCUGAUCUGAUCUGAAGAAGAGAUUACAGGAGAGUUGCAGAGAGAGUGAGAGAGAUUAAGUGACGAUGGAGGACUGAGAUGAGCAAUGAGUCACGGCUCACGGGUGAGAGAGAUUGAGAGAGGAACGGAUUACGGUUUACGGAUGAGACUUGAGAGAUUGAAAGGAGAAAUUACAGAUUUACAGUAAUUUUUUUUAGGUUGAAGGAGAAAUUUCGAGAGAGGAUUAGAGGAACGAGACGAGAGAGAUCUAGAUUCUAGGGUUCACUUUUGUUUUCGUUUUUUUUUUUUCUAUUUAUAAUUACGGAUUUACGGAUCAAAAUUAAUAUUAAAAUAAAUAAUAUCCGGGUCCGGGUUCCGGAUUUGCGGGUUCACCUGAAACCGGAUCCGGACCGGAAAAAUGCGGGUUGUCAAAAACUGAUCCGGAUUCCGGAUAAAAACUAUGCCGGUGCGGGUUGAACCCGGACCGGAUUUUCCGGGUUCAAUCCGGGUCCGAUCCGGGUCCGGGUUUGAUUGCCACCCCUAUGCACAAUUUAAGGGGUUUGUGACAUGGGUUUAAACAUGAUUUAACAAGUGCCACCUGUGAAUUGUCAGAGAUUGUAUUUUCAUACACAUGUCAAAUUUUCAAGUCCAACAAAUUGUUAUCUUUCUAAAGAGGCUAAUAUUAUUAUUAUCUAUGCAUAGCAUGCUAGAAACAAUUCAUAUUACUAGGGCCUUUGUUUUCUGUAAACAACAUAUGGACAGAGGAACAAAUCCCUGAGCUAAAAUCAUCAUAUUCCAAAAUAUUCUAUUAAAUCAACACCACAAAACGCGAACGCUAAACAGAAUUGGAGCAAUUUACCAAAGCUAUUUGUCACGCAAAGCACUAGUACCUCAGAACCCAAUUUGCAAAACAGCACCAAAAAUGAAAAAUAACAAAUGCCCAGAUGAAAUAUCAGGAAAAAAAAGGCUCAAAUCCAAAUUACAACCCCAUAAGCUGAAUCGUUCUCUUCGAACUGAAUUAAAAAAAAUUAAAAAAAUUAAAUAGGGAGAUUGACCUCAAACUUUGGAAACAGGAGCGACAGCGAUCUGUUUCUUGUCUGGAGUGUCCAUUUCUAUAAUCUACAUUGUCCAUUUUCAGUCGCUCUGCCACAGAGCUUCUUCCCUCUGAAGCUGAAGCUCACACACACUUGCAAAACGAAAGCAUUUUUAGUGAUUGAGAGGCGGGAAGGCGGGAAAAUGAGAGAAAUUUACAUUUGUUUUCUCUUGGUUUGGUCAUACCUGUGCGGGCCCCAGCUUGACAAGCGGUAUUAUUACUAUUUGUAUAAUUUAAAUGACGCGUGUCAGGCAAUGACGAUAAAAAAUAUAUACAUAUAUUGUUAAUUUUUCACUUAACAUUAAAAUAUCAUAUAAUUUUUCCAAUUUUAUGGUUAUUUUCUCGCCCUUAUGCCACAUUCUUUUGAUCAAAUAAUACAGUAAAACUUUUCUAUAAUCAUAAUAUUAGAGCCAAAUUAAAUUUGUUUCUGUAAAGAGGCUAUAGCUUAAUAAAGGUAAAAUUAUAAAAAUUAUUAUUUUGACUCAGUUAUCUUUAGUGCAAGUGAUAUAAAGUACAGAUAUAUGAUAAUUAAUUAAUGAACUAUGUCAAAUACAAUAUGCUGACAAUGAUAAAAAAGAUAGACAUAAUUUCAAGAAACUAAUACAUAUAUUUAUGUAGUGCUGGGAUUAUACAAAAUUAUCUUAAAAGUGUAAAGAUUAAAGUACUAUUAUGAUUAAUUUAAAAAAAUUAUUUUAUCUUAAUCUUUAAUGCAACAUAGUUUUUUUUUUUCUUAGCAACAAAGCAUUGUUCCAAAUAAUUAUUAUUGGAUUCAAAUCAUGUCCUAGGCAUUUUUUCUUCUGGUCGUCUUAAACUUUUAAUGAUUUAUUGGCAUGUGUCAUUAAUGAAAUUAAAUAACUAAGACUUUGUUUUAAUUAACGUUUACAUAAAUAGACAUCAAAACUCACGUGUGAUUCUUAUCAAUUUUUUUCCUGCAAUUUUUUUCCUCUCAACUAUUCAUAUUUUGACAUUAAUUUCCAGCAAAUUAUUAAAAAAGAAGAAGCGUAAAAUGGAGAAAAGUGAUUGACAACAAGGUUUGCAUCUUAAUUUCAAAAUUUUCCUUUCUUUGCUAUUUUUGUGGGUUCUACAAUUGUUGUUUUCACUCUCAGCUGCAGUUCAAUGAACUCUAUUAAUAACCAUGAAGCUUAAUGUAUCAAUUCCAGUACGACAAGUCCUUCUACGCAUGUUACAACACUUUUUUGUCAUUAUAGGUUGCAAAUGUUCCGUAAUGUACUCAUUCAUAUAACGGAAACGCUAUUAUCAAUAAUGAAAGUUGACUAAGUUUGUAAAUUCUAUUUAACGAAAAAGUAUCAUAAAUUUAGUUGAACAAGAGGUAAUUAAUAUGUAAUCUAUGAAACUAGGGUGUGACUAAGUUACAUAGUAAUGUAACUUACAUGAACACAAAAAUAAUUAGUUUUUAAACUACAAGUAGCUUUGAAACAGCUCUUAAAUUGAUAUAAGUUCUAUUAUUAUGUAACUUAGCAAGGUCAGAUAUUUUAAUAAUAGCUUACUCUACCGUGCCAAUGUCAUUAGUAUUAAUCUGUUGAACCUAAGACCAGAUCUAAGCUGAUCUAGAUUCCCCAAGAUCGCACACCACACAGUGAUUAAUGAAUCAAGAACAAUAAACCAUCAAAGAAUCGCAAACUUACAUGUCGGGUUACAUGUAAUAAAUGUUUUAAUUAUUAGAUGAUUCAUAAUGUUAGACCAUUUUUUGUAUGUUUUGUAAUCUACGUUUGAUAAUUUAAUUAGCUGAUAAACACUUGAAUAAUAUUAUUUUAUUAACUAUGUCAUUGAUCCCCAGGAAAAAAAAAAAAACCAAUUUGGGAUGUUAUACAUUGCUUUUUCAUUAAUUCCCAUUUUAUAUUAAUAUUUAUCACAUAUAUUCUUAGUAACUUGUAACCCUUUUUGCUAAGGGUGAAAUGUGUUUGUUACCCCUUCUAUUUCUGAGAUUGUCCUUACAAUAAGGAUGCCGGCCCCAAUGUCAAAAACUGCUAUCUCUGGGUGUAAAUUCCUUAUAAAAUUCUUUUUUAAUUGAAAUUACUUAAAUAAUUGAAGAUAAAUUAAUUUUUUAUUUCAUUCAAAUAAAAAAAAUCAAUUAAACACUUAAAUAAGCUAUCCUUUUAAUUUUUUUUUUACACCCCUCCAGUUUCAUAAUUUAUAUUUAUAAUUUAAAUUUUAAUGGAAAAUAUUUUUUUGAAAAAUUUUAAGAAUUAAGAAUUAUGGGGAUAAAAAUUAUGUAAUAAGAACAAAAUAAUUUAAAAUUUUAAAAUUUGCAUGCAUUAUAAACAAAAACUUGAAAGAAAUACUCUUUUCAGGGUGAAAUUUAAUGAGAAAAAGAUUAAUUUUAAUUUAUGAAUUAGUAUUUUAUAAGUUAAACUGAGGUAUUUCAAGAAAUAGAAUUCAAAAGGCAUGGGAACGAGGGCCUUGGGUUUCAUUUUGUUUUGUAGGAAUUGGGAAAAAUACACGGACAGACAAAGGGAGCAGUCAUUAUAAUGCUGUGAAGCUGGUCGGAGAUACCCUGCCCAUUUGUAGCUUAGACUCCUGGGGUUUUGUUCAUGUCUUUUAUGUAUCCCACUUUUUCAUGCAGCAGAUGUACAUAUGAUGAGAUGAAAACAACAGCAAAAAUUGCUGUCUCAUAAGAGAAAUAGUCAUACAUAGUUGGUUAGGCCUCCUGUCCAUUAACUUAAUAAUGAAUUUUAUGAAAAUUGAUUAUCUCAUUGGAAUUACAUAGAUAUUGGAAAACAUUACUCCAGCCCCACCAUCCCAACCAUUUACUUAGUUCAUCAGUAAAAGCUGGAUUUUCCAUUUGUUCUUGAGAUUCAAAUUAAGGCAACAAGUUGCUCAUUCUAUAUUAUCUAUGUAAUCCUGUAAAAGUGAAGGGCGUUUAGAUGUGGAAAAACCUUACUCCUGCCGCAACACCUCAAACAGAUUGUGAUCAGACAAGACUUAGUUCAUCAUUAGCGGUAGUUGGAGCUUCCAUUUGUUCUAGAGAUUCAAAGGCAGCAAGCUGCUUCCUCAGUGCUACUAAUUCUUCCCCGGCAUUGCAUAUGUAGCCUGAGGCUCGUCUGCCAGACAAAGUUGCUCCUUCCAUACUAUCUAUGUAAUCCUGUGAGAGUGAAACCAUUUAGAAGACAUCUCUUUUUUUUUUUCAAUAUUUGGAAUGAAACAAUUAUAUACAGUUACCUGUUUUGUAUAUGAGCUGGCGAGGAAGAAGUUCUUCAUUGGUAUCUUUUGAUCAGGUCUGAAGGGGUCUUUACCAGGUCCCUCACCUCACAAAGAUUGCCGGAUUUUGACGACAGAUAACCAAAUAACUUCUAAACCUUGGGAUGAUGGAAUUAGAGCUAAAACCUAAUAAAAGGAACCGUGAAUGGAUAGUAUGGAUUCAUGUAUAUUAUCCAGAAAGUUGCAUGACCGUUUGUGGUACUCAGGUCACUAAAAAACGUGAGAUAAACAUCUAGGAUAAGAAAAGCAAAAAAGCGUAACCUAAUAUGUAUUAUAUGAAUUGAAGGUGUCACUGAACACUACUAACCUGCUUUGCCACUCUCCUUAUGAUUUCAUCAUUUGGUAAGGGCAUAUAAGGAUCUCCAGGCGUCAAAACGCAUCUGAAAGAUAAUAUGGUUAUAGGAAGCAAGAUGGAAUACAAAGACACUUGGCAAAAGGAAGUCAAUCAGAUUCCAUGCACAAAAAAUAACUAAAAAUGACGAGGAUAAGAAAUGUUUCUUACUGGAGAAAUGAACCUUGCCCUUCUCUGUAGUAGUAUUCUGGUGAAGUGAGUGCUAGAUCUGCAAAGCAAGAGAAAUCUGCAUCUGGAGUAUAUAAAAGGUUAUCUAACCCCACAGCUUGCCUCAAUUGCCUACAUGUUCAAUACAAGGAUCCGUUAAAAAAUGGAAAUUUCUUCAAUGCAUUAGUAAAGGGGAGUGAAGUGAAAGCUGAUUUCUUAGGCCUUCACAGAGCAUCUUGUGUUUGACAGCAAGCAUUAAAGAAUAAACUCAAAGUCAAUGCUUCUAACAGAUGAUAUAAACAACAAAUUUACAAAUAUCAGGUCAUUGCAUUAGCUCCAUGCCUCCGUCAGAGCGAACAUUAAUAGAUGCGUAAAAAAUAAAUAAGAGCGAUAUGUGAAACAAUUUACCUUAGACAUGGCAAGUCCUUUGACAAAUGUUUCCCCGUUAGCAGAUUUAUCAUAAUGCAUCUCUCUGCAUCCCCACCUAAGAUGGAACCUGUUCUCACAAGAACAGAUUCCAAGGUUGGGAAAAUCAAUUGAUCAUCGGAGAAAACAAACAGGAUUAACAAAUCACUACAAUGGUGUGAACCUGUAAAUACAAACGUACCUGCCCCCUUUAUCUGUGAUAUAUUUUCUUAUUGGCCCACUCAAAUAAACAUCCGGAGAACCCUUGAGCAUCUGCAAUAGGGAAGCCUCGGUCUUAGUUGCAAACAGUGCAAAUAUAGUAUGCAUACAACGAGCAAUGAUGUUAUCACAAUCAAUAAACCCAAGGGCAAACGCAACAGGAUCUUACAUUCUUUGGAUACUCAUCCAUGUACCACCCUUGGACAAAAACCAAUCAGAGAAGCUUAUCUGUAAGAAGAAAUGAAGUUUGAGGUAAAAUAAAAAUUUGUAGGAACAGGGAUUGAAAUUCAACAAACAAGAAAAUAUGUUGUUUGUUGAAAUUCAACAAACAACAAACAAGGCUCCAUCAGGAUCAAGAAGUGCCUUUACAACAGGACUCAGCGCAAGAGCAAUAGCAUUUCUUGAUUUAUCAUAAGUCUGCACUUGAGCAAUAUACGAGGCAAAGUACAUCAAAAGAGAAUCCAAAAGAGGCAAGAAGCUUCAACAUGAAAAAAGGAGUACUGCCUCGUCAUACUGCUUUGCAAUCACAGUGCAAAAGAUAACAUCAACAAAAUCAAAAUCGAGCAUAAAUCCGUAUGCACUACCUUAAGCUGAUUUGUAGACAAAAAUGCACGAAUCCCAUGUAAUGGAGCUCCAAUCGGAAACCGGAAAUCAAGUUCUGGAGUUGAAAAUCAAAAUCAUGAAUCAAAUCAGAGUUAUUAUUGAAUUAGACAAUCCAUAAACCAAUAGAAGGUGAUGUCAAACCAUCAAGCAUAACUAUUAGUUGUUUUAAGUGAUCAAGAAAUAACUGUACCACCAAUUUCACCACCCUUAUUUACAAAUUUAUGAGUAUGAUCCUUCAUGAGUAAAUUUUCGUCCGCACCGACCUGUCGACAUCCAUGAAAAACUAUCAGAUCAUAAACACAUGUUCCAGUUAAAGAGGAUCUAUGAUUCUGAUCCAUCAUGUUAUUUGAACAACAUUUUCGGAUUUUCUUACAACCCUAAGCUAUUAUCAGUUAUCAUCGCUACAAAUGAUAUGGUCAAGAGGAAUGAUAGUUCUUGUUUCAAGAAUCUCAAAUCGUAAUUCUUUUGCAUGGCUUCUGUGCUUUUAUAAUCAUUCAAACACGCAUAUCCACAACUAAGCAAGCUUUACCUUUUUUGUCAAUCGGAACAGAUUAUUGCAGCAUCCAAAGAAAAUGUGCAGGCUGAUUUCAAUAUGGUUUCCAUGUUUACCGACAAAUGAAGCCACUUUACCACCAAUAAAAGACCUCAACUCAUAUAUAUCCACCUGGAAGAAAGGAAAAUUUAAAAAAAAGGAACUUCUAAUUUCUUUCACCAUCAACAAAAUCAGAAAAACACAUACUAAUUCAAAAUGAAAUAAAGUUUGUGAAUUGAAAUAAUGCCAACUCCUAAGAAAAAUUAUGACUGCUGAUAUUUUUUCCGAAAUGCUGAUAAAAGCUUCUGCUAUUUACUUUGAAAAAAUUGAGGUUAGAAGCCUAUUUACUUGAAAUUUUGAGUUUAGGCAAGAGGAUGAAUGGUAAAAGUGAAACAUUUUAGGGAAAAAUGUACGUCAGUGGCCAAUGAAAGCAUUAAGAAGAUUGAAAUCUAAAUGAGCAAAACCUCAUGGCCUUGAUCCAACAAUUCCACUGCUGUUGACAUGCCUGCAAGCCCAGCUCCAAUAAUAGCCACUUUCAGCUUUGGUCCUCUAUAAUGUUCCGGUUCUGGUGGAAACAAUUAAACAAACCCUUGGGAGCUGCCAAGUAUACCAUCCAAUUAUCCACAGCGAUAAUGGAAAUAUAUAUGUGUUUGAAAGUACUAAAUUCCUAAACAUGACAUGUAUCCAAAAAGUGACGCAAAGCAGAAUUGCGGAAGCAUUUCAAUUCCCAAUAAAUUUCAAGAAUACAAAAUACUCGGUCUGUUCUUUCAAUUCCUUCAAUAAAAUUUCCACUAGAGGCUACGCAAGCCACUCAAUAACACUCCAAAGCCAGAUUUUAAACGUUAUCUUUAUCUUUAACUCCAAUCCAUAAACAAUUCUGCCACAAAUUCAAUCCAAAAUUGUUCAAGUGCACCGCCAAUUCUCCAUCAAUUCCCUCAAAAAUUCAUAAUUGGCAAACACUACAAACCCAAAAGAGCUUCCAGCAAUAAACGCAUAAAAAUCCACCAAGCAACAUAAAACAAAAUACCCAGAAACCAGAAAAGCCAAAAGAUCAAUGCUUGGCAAACAAGCAAAUCAAAUAAAACAAAAAGAAGUGGAAUUUACCCUUAACGCUCAUAUCAGAAACAUUAGUGUCCAAAGAAGCCCGUACACGGAAUCUUGGACCCUUCACUUGAACCCGAGACCAUCUAACGCCAGUAACUGAAGUUGCAGGAAACAGAACUGAAGAACCCAUAUUGCAAAUCCUGAGCUGAAAUCAAAGAAAUUCAAUUGGAACUCAAUUCAGCUCAACCGAGCGGAGCUCUCUUUUGCUUCAAUAACAAAGUGUUUUUCUUUCAUAUCAACAAAGAUUUGUCAACAUCAACAAAAUUUAACUAAGAAUCUAACAAGAUGCUAAGGAAGAGAGUUUUGUCAGGGAACUGUUUCGGUGUGGUUGGCCAAGUGCUUCUUUGUUUGUUUUUUUUUUUUUCUUUUUUUGCCCUUUUCAUUAAUACACAACAGUAGUACUCGUGAAGAGCACAAAAUGUUGGUGACUUUGUCACUAACGAUACCAAAGUGGAGUGACCAGAGCAACCAACUAAAUUUUAAAGAGAGGGAAUGAUAAGUAAUAUUUUCUUUGGGUGAUUAAUUAAUUUAUUAUCAAAUAAUUUUAUUUAUUUAUUUAAACGACAUCCUUAUCUUUGUACAAGGCAGCUGAAAGAUGACGAUGUUGUGUUGUCACAUAUUUUUGGGCCGACCGUUUCUUGUUUCGGCUUAAAUGAGGCUUUUGUAAUUUUGUACUAAAAAGUGGCAUUGGCUGGAUGGCCAAACUGCAGAGUUCAAGUCUACAAUAGAGAAUCGAAAUUUACCUUUGUAAAUGUUCAUAAGUAUUUACCACAGAUUUUUAAGUUAUUCUUGAUAGAUCCCCUACCACAUACGCUAUAAUAUUUCUCUCCUUUUAAUUUAAAAGUAAAUCAUGCAUAAUAACGGGUUUGUAAAGAAAUGAAAUUUCUGUUAAUUAACUGUCAAAAAAAAAAAGAUGGAUUAAGCUAAAGAAGUUAUUAUAGAGUAAGUCGAGUACUUGACAAUCAAAGUAAUUUUACUCGAGGUUGAGUAAGGAUAGUACGAUACUUUCUCAAGUUUUCUGAGGACAUUCAUGUGACAUUGGACUAUUGACUAUAGUUAGAGAGAAGUCCAAGGAUGUAAGUGAUGAUGAUAGAUUCACAAUUCUUUUGAAGAAAAUAUUUUAUAUAAACUUAAUUAUAUGGUAUAAAAUGAUUGGCCUCAAUAAAUUAAAAAAUAAUACACGCCUGGAUCAUGCAAUAUUUUCAACCAAAUAAUUUACACGCAAAAUUAAACUUUAUGAGUACAUUUAUUUGCUAGCAGAAACUCUGCCAAAUUUUCCGAAAUGUGAAAGUGAACACUUUUAACAACGGCACAAAAUGCAUGUGAUAAGUUUUUGUUAGAAUUUGUUUUCUUCUUUGUUUUGAUUUACGCGACAGAUAGUUGUAAAGCGUAAAAUUUUAAAAUCCGCAACAAAACAAAAACUUACAUGGGUUGGCCGCACCUUUCGUGCCUGCUUUCGUCUAAUAGUAUUUGAUACGUACAUCAAUAUAAUAUCAUGGACAUUGAAUUUCAAAUUAACAGUUGGUUUUAUAAUAAAAAUCUUUAUGUUAUAUUACGUACAUCAAUAUAAUAUAAAUUUGUUAUAUAUAUUUUUUUUUCUGUAACCAAUGCUUUCAAAAACUUUAUAUUUGUAUGUUUGAACAAUUUUUUUUUGCAUUCUAUUUAUAUACGGUAUCAUUUAUGUUUACAUAAAUUUUCAUAUCUACCCAAAUUAAGUAUUAAAUACACAGACACUUUGUUAAGACUCGUGUAAUAAUUAAUCUUAAUAAUUUCUUAUACAAAUACAAUCCUUUAUCUAAGACCAGCAACGUCACUCAUCAUAAUUUUUCACCAAAUAUUGUAAAGUUGUUGUAGUAGUAUAGUUAUCAUGGACAUUGAAUUUCUAGUAUCAGACAAUGAUAUUAUAUUGAAUGUAGUGCUUCAAUGAAUUUUAUUACUAUAUACUAAAAUACUCAACGAUCUUCAUUAAAAAAAAAAAAAAUUGCAUGAUUAGAAUGAUUAAAGUUCAUUUAAUGACGAGUUUCAUCAUUGACUGUGUCGAAACACAACAGCAAUCCACAAUACACUUAACACGACAAUCAUGCAUGAAUCUUCCACCAUUAAACCUGAAAUCAUAAAAUGAAAGAAACAAGAUGAGGGUUGUUUUACCGUCUAAAAGCCGAUUCGAAAUACUAAUAAUAAUAAUAAUAAUAGACCUUUGUUAAUAGUUACUACUAGUGGUCACUGCCUUGUCCAUCUUCCUUCUCUGUAUCAUCGUCCUCUUCCAAGCCGCUGUCAUCUGACCAAACCCCAGCAACCAUCCUGGGAAAACUCGCCUCCUUGUUUUAGGAGCAGGAGCAGGAGCAGGAGGAGGAAAUUAAGUUAGGGAUUUGGAGUGAGAGUGAAGGUGGAGAAAAAGCAAGAGAGCGAAAAAGCUGAUUGUUGAGAAAUAUAUACCUUUCGUAUGGUUGUGUUAAGGUCGUCCUUCCAAUCCCAACAUGCUUCACCCAGCCGCUGCACUUUGUGUAAUUUGGGUGUACUUAAUUUUCCUGCAGAGAAAAUCUUCAUAUCGGGGCAAUCAUCCACCACUAAUCUUUCCAAAGAUAGGAAAUUGAAAGCACAAUUGCCAGAGCAGAAGCUUGUCAGACUUUUUAAGUGUAAAAGCUUCAACUCUUUCAAUUCUCUGAAAGUAAUAACCUCAUCUUUUGCUACAACAUCAUCCACCAGUACUAUUUCUGUUAAACCUGAAAUCAUAAAAUGAAAGAAACAAGAUGAGGGUUGUUUUACCGUCUAAAAGCCGAUUCGAAAUACUAAUAAUAAUAAUAAUAAUAGACCUUUGUUAAUAGUUACUACUAGUGGUCACUGCCUUGUCCAUCUUCCUUCUCUGUAUCAUCGUCCUCUUCCAAGCCGCUGUCAUCUGACCAAAAACUCGCCUACUUCUUUUAGGAGCAGGAGCAGGAGGAGGAAAUUGAGUUAGGGAUUUGGAGUGAGAGUGAAAGUGGAGAAAAAACAAGAGAGGAAAAAAGCUAAUUGUUGAGAAAUAUAUACCUUUCGUAUGGUUGUGUUAAGGUCGUCCUUCCAAUCCCAACAUGCUUCACCCCGCCGCUGCACUUUGUGUAAUUUGGGUGUACUUAAUUUUCCUUCAGAGAAAAUCUUCAUAUUGGGGCAAUUAUCCACCACUAAUCUUUCCAAAAAUGGGAACUUGAAAGCACAAUUGCCAGAGCAGAAGCUUGUCAGGUUUUUUAAGUGUAAAAGCUUCAACUCCUUCAAUUCUCUGAAAGUAAUAACCUCCUCUUGUGCUACAACAUCAUCCACCAGUACUAUUUCUGUUAUCUCAUCGCAUGAUUCUAUCUCCAUAUAUCUAAGUCGCACCAGAGUCUUUGCAAUUGAGGGUGUUAAUACGAUUUUCAAGCCUUCGCAACACGAUACCACCAGAUUUGCAAGAUUCUGAAAGGAUGUCGAGGAUGGCACUAGAUUGACCAAACGGUCACACCCCAUUACACGUAGAAUAACCAAGUUGUUCGUAACAGAGGACUCCUCUAUCAAAAUGUGUUCCAGUGGAUAUUUUGCUUCUCUUAUUUCUACCCCCAUCCCAUUUUCAACCUUCUCAUACAGCAACCAAGCACCAUAUCCUCCUAUUUGGAGGACUUUCAUCGUGUGAAGUCUCUGGAGGAAGUCAAAAAGUGAUAAAAUAGUCCGCUCAUCACCCAAUGUCACAUAAAGAUAUUUUAGUUUGCAAAGCAAGCCUUCAGAAAAUAGAUAUUUAUUUGUUACUAAGUGCUCUGCAUCAAUAUCCAACUCUUCCAAAUUAGGGAAUACCUGGGAGAUCAAUCAGAACCCCAAAAAAAAAAAAAAAAUACAAGAUGAAUCAAUUGAUGAGAAAUAUAAGUUACCACUAAUUUAUAAAAUAUAUUUUAUUCAAUAAAUCUUAACCUUAAAAAAAAUAGUAAUAAUAAUACGCCUAACAUCUAGAAUAAUUAUGAAUGAAUAAAAUUCACAGUACAUACUUAAGAAUUGAAAAUUUGAUUAUAAAAUUCUUGUACGUACCCUUUCCGUCAAGAUAUUAGUAGUUCUUUUGUAUCUCGCCAUGAAUUCAGGACAUCCAGAUAUCAUUAAUUCUUUCAAGGAUGGAAAUUCAAGAAUAUCAAGAUCUCCAGUGCAGAAGCUUGUGAACUUUUCAAGACCAGACAUCCUCAGAUAUUGCAACUGGGGAAACGUUACAAUAUUAUUCUUCAUUUCUUCUUGGUUGUCCACGACUAUUAACUCUUCCAGGACAGGACAUCCGGCUAUCUCAAUGCUUUGGAGUCGAACAAAGCUACUAACAGUAGAAGAUGAAAAUAGACAUCUUAAAUUCAUACAUCGGUGCAGGGUCAAGCGCGUUAAAUUCUGAAUACCACAAGACAUGACUGUAACUUGGAUCGGCCAAAUCCUCUCAACAUUUAUUGAAUCCAACGUCAACUUCUCUAACUCUGGUAACCGAUCCUGCUCGAUCAAAAAAUUAACUUGUUAAUUGCAAGUAAACGAUCAUUGAUUAUAAAAUUCUUGUACGUACCCUUUCUGUCAAGAUAUUAGUAGUUCUUUUGUAUCUCGCCAUGAAUUCAUGACAUGCAGAUAUCCAUAAUUCUUUCAAGGAUGGAAAUUCAAGAAUAUCAAGAUCUCCAGUGCAGAAGCUUGUGAACUUUUCAAGAUGAGACAUCUUCAGAUAUUGCAACUGGGGAAACGUUACAAUAUUAUUCUUCAUUUCUUCUUGGUUGUCCACGACUAUUAACUCUUCCAAGACAGGACAUCUGACUAUCCCAAUGCGUUGGAGUCGAACCAAGCUACUAACAGUAGCAGAUGAAAAUAGACAUCUUAAAUUCUCACAGUCCCACAAGGUCAAGUGUGUUAAAUUCUGAAUACCACAAGACAUGACUGUAACUUGGUUUUGCCAAAUCCUCUCAACAUUUAUUGAAUGCAACUCCAACUUCUCUAACUCUGGUAACCGAACCUGCUCGAUCAAAAAAUUAACUCGUUAAUUACAAGCAACAAUGAUUUCUGUUGAUGGACAAAUCAAUAAAAUUACUCUUUCUCUGGUUAUAGUUCUUUUCAGUUUUUCAUACAAACAACCGUUAAUCAAGUUUUCCAAAUUAUUCCUUACUAAAUGUAUAGAUUUAGACGGCGGCUAAUAUA